rnacentral:rRNA from 1 species
CUUUCUUUGCUGGCGACCGGCGCACGGGUGAGUAACACGUAUCCAACCUGCCCUUUACUCGGGGAUAGCCUUUCGAAAGAAAGAUUAAUACCCGAUAGCAUAAUGAUUCCGCAUGGUUUCAUUAUUAAAGGAUUCCGGUAAAGGAUGGGGAUGCGUUCCAUUAGGUUGUUGGUGGGGUAACGGCCCACCAAGCCUUCGAUGGAUAGGGGCUCUGAGAGGAAGGUCCCCCACAUUGGAACUGAGACACGGUCCAA